CCCUUAGAUGUUCUGGGCUGCACGCGCGCUACACUGAUGCGUUCAACAAGUGUUAACCUUGCCCGAUAGGGUUGGGUAAUCUUUUGAAAGCGCAUCGUGAUGGGGAUCGAUGACUGCAAUUGUUCAUCUUCAACGAGGAAUUCCUAGUAAGCGCAAGUCAUCAGCUUGCACUGAUUACGUCCCUGCCCUUUGUACACACCGCCCGUCGCUCCUACCGAUUGGGUGAUCCGGUGAAUAGUUCGGAUCGUGCAGGUUGCCUUCGGGUGCUUGUAUGAGAAGUUCAGUAAACCUUAUCACUUAGAGGAAGGAGAAGUCGUAACA
rnacentral:rRNA from 1 species